rnacentral:rRNA from 1 species
GUUGACCUCGGAUCAGGUAGGGAUACCCGCUGAACUUAAGCAUAUCAAUAAGCGGAGGAAAAGAAACCAACAGGGAUUGCCUUAGUAACGGCGAGUGAAGCGGCAAUAGCUCAAAUUUGAAAGCUGGCCCCUUCGGGGUCCGCGUUGUAAUUUGUAGAGGAUGAUUCGGCGAGGGCUCCCGUCUAAGUCCCUUGGAACAGGGCGUCAUAGAGGGUGAGAAUCCCGUAUGUGAUGGGCUGCCUUAGCCAUGUGAAUCUCCUUCGACGAGUCGAGUUGUUUGGGAAUGCAGCUCUAAAUGGGAGGUAAAUUUCUUCUAAAGCUAAAUACCGGCCAGAGACCGAUAGCGCACAAGUAGAGUGAUCGAAAGAUGAAAAGCACUUUGGAAAGAGAGUUAAAAAGUACGUGAAAUUGUUGAAAGGGAAGCGCUUGCAGCCAGACUUGUCCGCAGUUGCUCAGCCCGUCUCCUGACGGGCGUACUCUUCUGCGGCCAGGCCAGCAUCAGUUCGGGCGGUCGGAUAAAGACCCGGGGAACGUAGCUCCUCUCGGGGAAUGUUAUACCCCCUGGGUGCAAAGCGGCCACCCAGGACUGAGGAUCUAGCUUCCGCUAGGAAGCUGGCGUAAUGGCUGUAGCGGCCC